AACGAACGCUGGCGGCAGGCUUAACACAUGCAAGUCGAGCGCCCCGCAAGGGGAGCGGCAGACGGGUGAGUAACGCGCGGGAAUCUACCCAUCUCUACGGAAUAACGCAUGGAAACGUGUGCUAAUACCGUAUACGUCCUUCCGGAGAAAGAUUUAUCGGAGAUGGAUGAGCCCGCGUUGGAUUAGCUAGUUGGUGGGGUAAAGGCCUACCAAGGCGACGAUCCAUAGCUGGUCUGAGAGGAUGAUCAGCCACACUGGGACUGAGACACGGCCCAGACUCCUACGGGAGGCAGCAGUGGGGAAUAUUGGACAAUGGGCGCAAGCCUGAUCCAGCCAUGCCGCGUGAGUGAUGAAGGCCCUAGGGUUGUAAAGCUCUUUCACCGGUGAAGAUAAUGACGGUAACCGGAGAAGAAGCCCCGGCUAACUUCGUGCCAGCCGCCGCGGUAACAC
rnacentral:rRNA from 1 species